rnacentral:rRNA from 1 species
GAUGAACGCUGGCGGCGUGCCUAAUUCAUGCAAGUCGAGCGAACAGACGAGGAGCUUGCUCCUCUGACGUUAGCGGCGGACGGGUGAGUAACACGUGGAUAACCUACCUAUAAGACUGGGAUAACUUCGGGAAACCGGAGCUAAUACCGGAUAAUAUAUUGAACCGCAUGGUUCAAUAGUGAAAGACGGUUUUGCUGUCACUUAUAGAUGGAUCCGCGCCGCAUUAGCUAGUUGGUAAGGUAACGGCUUACCAAGGCAACGAUGCGUAGCCGACCUGAGAGGGUGAUCGGCCACACUGGAACUGAGACACGGUCCAGACUCCUACGGGUGGCAGCAGUAGGGAAUCUUCCGCAAUGGGCGAAAGCCUGACGGAGCAACGCCGCGUGAGUGAUGAAGGUCUUCGGAUCGUAAAACUCUGUUAUUAGGGAAGAACAAAUGUGUAAGUAACUAUGCACGUCUUGACGGUACCUAAUCAGAAAGCCACGGCUAACUACGUG